rnacentral:sRNA from 1 species
GGGUAUCCCCUGCUUCCCUGACUUCUCCAUGUGCAUCCCUCCGAAGCUGCGAGUUCUUCGAAGACGACGACCUUCCCCAAGAGAAGGAGGACCAUUCUUCCAUCAAGGGUAUAUGAGAAGCUUCGCUCCCCUGCAAGACCCUCCAAACAAGCUCUCAAAUUAUUUGUAUCAGCUAAAGAUUAAAGAAAUGAACAUUUUGAGAGUAUAAAUGACUAUUAUCCACCUC